GGCGAAGUUUACGGGCACUUCGCUGUAAGCGUUUGAUUUCCUCUUUACAAAUUUCAUUUUCACGGACGCAUCUACUGUUCUUCAGAAGAGUUUUGUUGAUGAUCUCGUGUCUCAUGAAACUGUACUAACCAUGCUGACCCCCAUCCUUAAAAAGGUGGCAAAGGGAAUAAAUGAAUAUUGUGUGAUGAUCAAGAGUGAUUCAGAACUUCAAUAAAUGAUUAACAACCUCCAGCCAAGCAAAGAGAUAUUCGUACAGGUUUCAGCACAGUUCUUUAAAGACAACAAAUUGAACUGGGGCCGCGUGGUGCCAUUAUUUUACUUUGCAUGCAAGUUGGCAAUAAAGGGUUUACGGCAGAAAGCUCCAGAUAUGAUGAGAUCUAUAAUAUCUUGGACAAUCAGCUACAUCAGGGAGC